CGUGACCCCUCUGUGGCCCCCUCCUGACCUGAGAAAGUGGUGCAAACAUCCACCGCGUCAUCUGGUCGUUAGGAGCACAGAGCCUGACCCACGAUAGACACCACGGGCAUAAUAAAUGCCGCUUUCUGUUUGCUUCAGCAGGAUGUGGACAAAACCUUUAAAUUUGUUUUUAUGCAUUCAAUGCGUCCAGCUGUUACGACUCUGAAGCAAGUGUGAUUUUCAGUCUUUUGUAGUUGUUAUUCAGGGCAGUCCUGUUGUGCUGGGCUUGACUGAAGCGGCCAACACGGUCAUGUGUGUGUCUCCAGGCAGCAACCUGCAGUGAGCCCAAGAUCAUGGUCCAGGGCUCCUCCUCCCGGCAGGGAGGAACUGUCCUCAGCAUCCUCUGAGCCCCAGGUGUGCAGGGGGCAGGGUCAGGUAGAGAGAGGGGAGGAAGUUAGCUGAGGAACAAUGGCUAUUGGUCAGAUUUCCCUACCCCAACCCUGACACAAGCGCCUCGCACAUCAUUGGCUGAGAUCAGUCUCUCCAUUUUCCUAAUCGAUUCUUCAUGCAAAGCCACAUUUUGGAGAAAAGGAAUGGUUAGAAUCAUGGCAGGAUUGCUGAGGCAGUGAAUUGAAGAGGCUGCGUAGUGCUUGCAACCAGUUACCAUAUUUCCCUGGAGGAAUCACCAGCAACCGACUCUCCCAGGACUUACGAGGUGCUUCCCUUAUCACCAGCCGUCUCAGCACAAGUAGUAAGAGAUAAGAAGGCAGCUGAGGUACACGCUUUGCCUCGUGGGUGUGAACCAAGUAGCGGGCACAGAGAGCCGCCAC